rnacentral:lncRNA from 1 species
UCUCCCUUAGUAUACUUCCUGUGGUCAUAAGUCUUCUCUCACUUGGCCUUUCCCUCUUUAGACUGGCGAGUAUCCUGAGGAUGGGAAAUCUGCUCAAUCAUCUCUGUGCGCUCAGUACUUCAGAGAGGAGGCUUCCCAAAACUGAUUUACUAUAGAAGAAACGGAGAGACGGGAAGACGGGAAGACGGGAAGUAACUGAUGCAGUUAUUUGUUAAGGGCCUAAAAUGGGCCAGGUGUUUAUGGAUGUAAACAAUGCAGGCUGCAUACAUGCAGAGCUUGUCCAUACGAGGAUUUCAUUACCAUUCUAAAAGUGUUAUCAGACUUCGUUUCCUCCUUCUUCACCAACCUAUGAUCGAUCAGCCUAAUAAAUGCGCUAAGACUCACGCCCUGCUCUCCUGCCCUCCACUGCUCGCCCCGGGCUCUCCGGCCGCCACCGCCUGCCCCGCCCGCGCUUCGCUACCCCAGCCUCCCGCACCAGACGCCGGCUGCUCCUGCGCUCCCACGCCCGCGCACCUCGCUCUCCCAGCCCCGCGCUCCCACACCCGGCGCGGAGGAGGCGGGCGCCCGGGGCGAGGGCAGGGCGGCCACGUCAGCGGCGCCGGCUCGCUCCGCCCUCCGCGGGCCUCCCCAUAGAAGGUAAAGCCUGGGCAGAGCCCGCGGGCGUCCUCAGGCU